rnacentral:rRNA from 1 species
AUUGAACGCUGGCGGCAUGCCUUACACAUGCAAGUCGAACGGUAACGCGGGGCAACCUGGCGACGAGUGGCGAACGGGUGAGUAAUGCAUCGGAACGUACCCAGUAGUGGGGGAUAGCCCGGCGAAAGCCGGAUUAAUACCGCAUACGACCUACGGGUGAAAGGGGGGAGUCGCAAGACCUCUCGCUAUUGGAGCGGCCGAUGUCAGAUUAGGUAGUUGGUGGGGUAAAGACCUACCAAGCCUGUGAUCUGUAGCUGGUCUGAGAGGACGACCAGCCACACUGGGACUGAGACACGGCCAGACUCCGUACGGGAGGCAGCAGGUAGGGGUAAG